rnacentral:rRNA from 1 species
CCUACGGGAGGCAGCAGUGGGGAAUAUUGGACAAUGGGCGAAAGCCUGAUCCAGCCAUGCCGCGUGUGUGAAGAAGGCCUUCGGGUUGUAAAGCACUUUCAGUGGGGAAGAAAGCCUUGGGGCUAAUACCCUCGAGGAAGGACAUCACCCACAGAAGAAGCACCGGCUAACUCCGUGCCAGCAGCCGCGGUAAUACGGAGGGUGCGAGCGUUAAUCGGAAUUACUGGGCGUAAAGCGCGCGUAGGCGGUCUGAUAAGCCGGUUGUGAAAGCCCCGGGCUCAACCUGGGAACGGCAUCCGGAACUGUCAGGCUAGAGUGCAGGAGAGGAAGGUAGAAUUCCCGGUGUAGCGGUGAAAUGCGUAGAGAUCGGGAGGAAUACCAGUGGCGAAGGCGGCCUUCUGGACUGACACUGACGCUGAGGUGCGAAAGCGUGGGUAGCAAACAGGAUUAGAUACCCCGGUGUC